rnacentral:snRNA from 1 species
AGCCAUGUAGUGAAUACAAAGCGAAUUAUUCUUUCGCCUUUUACUAAAGAAUACCGUGUUUUCUCUACAUAUAGUGGCAUACGCUAAUUUUUUAUAGGGGUCUGCAUUGUGGACCCU